AAAGUCUAACCUGCCCAAUGAAUUUUAAAAGUUUGAAUGGCCGCAGUAUAUUGACUGUGCAAAGGUAGCAUAAUAAUUAGUUUUUUGAUUGAGAACUGGUAUGAAUGGUUGGACGAGAAAAAAACUGUCUCAAUUUAAUUUUAAUUAGAAUUUUAUUUUUAAGUUAAAAAGCUUAAAUAAUUUUAAAAGACGAGAAGACCCUAUAGAGUUUUAUAUUUUAUUAUAUAUUAAAUUUGUAGUAUCUUUUUAUUAAAUUAUGUAAUAAAGUAUUUGAUUGGGGUGAUAGAAAAAUUUAAAGAACUUUUUUUAAAUUAAACCAUUAAUUUAUGAAUAAUUGAUCCA
rnacentral:rRNA from 1 species